AUUAUUAGUUAAUUUCUUUAAACUUAAAAAAGUUGGCGGUAUUUAAAUCUAAUUAGGGGAAUUUGUCUAUUAAUUGAUAAUCCGCAAGGUACCUUACUUUAAUUAAUUUAAUUUAUUUAUUGCCGUUAUCAGAUUAUUUUUUAAGAAUUUAAAUUUUCAGAAUUUUUUAUUAAAUAAUUAUUUCAGGUCAUUAUGUAGUUUAUGUUAAAGUUUAUGAUGAGUUACAAUAAAUUUAUAUUUAUUAAAAAAAAUUAUAAAAAAAAUUUUUUAAAAGGGAUUUAAUAUAAAAAAAAAAAAAAAAAUUUUUUUGAAAUAAGAAUUAAAU
rnacentral:rRNA from 1 species